UUUUAAUAUUAUUAAUGUUUUGUUUUGAUUUUAUGUAUUUCUGCCCUGGGACUUCUGGAUGAAAAGUAGGCUAUAAAUGUGGCUGAAUGACACUUCUUAGCUGCAGUUCUUUUCCUCUCAGUCUGUUCUGCAAGGGAGCAUUAGCCUUACCAAAACCCCAAACACUACAGGGGGCUAGCCUAUGAUCUCUGUCUUCACUUGAAGUGGCAGCAAAAUAGCUCACGCCUAGGGGUGCUGAGAUUAAUCAAUCUUCAGUGGAGCAGUUUUGGAUUAAGUUUUAUGAUUUGCAGCCUAUUCAUUUUAUGGUUUCACCAAGUAGCCACAUGGCAUAAGUUGUGGCUCAAGACCAAGCAGAGCUGAAACUGGCAACAACAAAGAAGCAAUGCAAAAUCCAAGAUUGACUUCAAAGCAGCUUACAAGUCAAUACGGGUCUGUUCCAUUGUCUGCUCUAAAGCACAAGGUGAAGUUACAGAACUCUCAGGUGGUACAGCACAGUGGGGAGGAGAGCCUGGCUGGGAGUCCAGAGUCUUUUUGUAUCCAUCCUCCUCCCUGCUGAGUUCUACAAGGAGCAACACUGAGACUAACAAGGAGGAAGCUGACAGUCAAUGCCACCUCCUAGACUGGAUGUGAGGCAGACCCACAAUAAAAGGCACAGGUCUGCUGAGGCCGUUACAUGCAGUUCAGUCCUGGGGCUCCUUCGCUUAUUAUUGCUACCCUUUGACAAAAUGCAUAUGAGACUGAACAGAGCCACCAAAAAUGGCAGUGUAAGAGGAGGAAAGAAGGAAGCUGACAAGGCAGUCCCAGCUGGUUUACAACUCUGGCAAGAGAUCAAAGAAGGAAGCUCAUCCUUUUCUCAUUGAAGUUGCUCCCCCUGCCAUCACUUCCCAUCCUGGGAGAUCAUCAUCACUGCACACUGCUCCCAACCAAGAACUCUGUGGUGGCUUUAACUAGCUCCCGGCUUUGUGUGAGCAUUCUCAGGGCAGAACAAAUCAGGCCACCUGGCUGCCUGGUUGCAAACAAUUAUGACUAUUUUGGAGAGGACAUGGAUUUGAAGGAUGUAUGGAAAUACCAAGCAUCCGGAGAACAGAGAUUUUUUGGAAUGAAUUACAUGAAAGGGAUUUUUACUUGGAAGUUGUAAAAUGGAAAUAAGGGGGGAGGAUGGAUCAACCUUAAAUUAAAAACUC